rnacentral:lncRNA from 1 species
CCAGAGACCUAGCUUCUUCCAAUGUGGUCUAUUUAAUCUCCUGUCAUGUGGGAAAUUAUAUUCAAAAUCUCCAUGAUCCUCUGUCCAUAGAGCUGCUGUUAAAUGAACACCUUGAUAUCUUCGUUCUUGGAGAGAAAUGAGCCAAGGAGGAAGACCAUCUAAAAAAACCACUAGACAAUUUGUGCUCACUGGAGUGGUCUCUGCUGGGCAAAAGGUCUUUAGAAUGACUCGUGGAUUUUCUGGCAAGUGGCAAACCAUACAAGUGCUAUGUCAGGCCAGGGAGACAGGUGCAGCCCUGUCAGUGUCAAAGAAGAACACUGGUAGCAGAAGAGCUAAGAGUGAAUGAAAAUUGAAUUAUCUUUAUUUCUAGGACUUGUCUAUUGAGAAACAACAGUGCUGGCAACGAUUUACUACCAACAAGAGGCAGUUCCAAGAGAAGAAUAUAAAAUAUGCUCUGCUCAAUCCCAUGAAACUCAGAGUGUCUCACAAUGGCCAAUUUCUUAUUUUUACCCUGUCCAGAGACAAGGAAGGAUGCAUCAGGGAGCUGCUAGCCUCUGUGAUGAAUAACUUGAGUCAGGCUGCAACAUGUGAAAGAAUUCAGCUGAUCAGGAUUUAUAACACUAGCUGGAUUUUUUGCUUUCUUUGGGGUUCAUGAAACAUGGUGUUGUGAGAUACCACAGGAGUCCCAGAGUAAAGUUACAUACCUAUUUCUCUUCCUUAUUUUUAUUUUUUUGGCAUGUUCAUACUAUUUUAUUACCAACAUCGUUGGCAUCCCUGAGUAUGAGAGUUCAGAAGAAACUUAGAGGCUAUUGUCUGAUUCAAUCCUUGCAGCUUACAAAAAGAAAUGUGGGGAGCAGUCACUGUGUGACUAGCCUAGGUCACUCAGGAAGUUAGAGGCAGAACUGCAGCCAGGGUCACCUCUCUUUACUGCUACUAGUGUGCUCUUUCUACUGCACCCUGAUCAUAAAACAUCUCCCAACCCAGGAACAAGGUCUACCGCAUAGGUGGGCACAGCAGCGUGAUCACUCUCUCAGUCAUCUGUACUCCUCCUUUGCUUUGACCAAAGACACAGGAAGGGACCUUUUGCCCCACAUAAAACACCUCUCAGAGGCUUUGCAACAACAACAGAUAAUAGAGAGCAUUGACCUAAGACCAACAUUUCAACCAUGGUGUCAAAACAAUAUUUUAUUUCAGCAAAGAAAAACUAUGUCACAAGUGGAUUAUUAUUACUAAUAAUCAGACUAGUGGUACUUGUGAAUGACUUGGUUUCAUACUCACACUUGGACAACUAUGCACACUGAGUAUAACUGACCUUAUGAGAACAUCAUUCUCACUAAGAUUAUGAUGUGCUUUCUCACGUGGGAACUGUACAUAAUAUUGCGUGUACACUUGGGAGGAAGUCCUGCCUGUGGUGUUGUCUUUCAGGGGAAGAAGAAUGGUUGACAAGUGAGGGUAUAUUAAACAUUUACUCCUCCAGAUUUUUCAAGAUUUCUGUUAAGCCAGAUCAGAAGAAAGCCAUCUAUUUGGAUUGCAUCACUCUAACCUGGUAAGUCGAAUUGUCUACACAGAAUUAUAAUUUCACGAUAUGUCCAGAUUACUUACCGAGAGCCAAUUUGAGACACCAACAGGACUAGUAAAACAUCUUUGCACUGUGGGUAGCGUUGCUAUCAAAGACCUUAUACAUUAUGUCAUUCAAGAACCUUUAUAUUAAGAUCCUUAUGGAAAAUCCUUCCCAAAGUUUAACCCUAUGAUAAAGGGUUUUUUCCUCCUGGUAACAUAGUGGGCAAUUGGGAACUGUUUAACCCAAUGCAUUGAUUUCAUUGAUUGUUUUGGUUGCCGAGAAGUAUGGAUGCUCAGAAUAGGUUUUCUUGUUUUCAACUGCUAAUUCCUUUAUUUAAAUUGUAAUAAAUGUUUCCCUUUACUUCUUUCCUUUUUCUUUUUAAGAAAUUUAAUGUAUUUCAUAAUAAAUUAUAAAUUAUCAAUAGAUCAAUUAGCAUAGAAUAGUUUGGAAUAAUGCUUAGAGAUCUCCCAUUGAAAAAGACCCCAGUACCAUAGGGUUCACAGC